CUACGGGGUGCAGCAGUGGGGAAUAUUGCGCAAUGGGGGAAACCCUGACGCAGCAACGCCGCGUGAAGGACGAAGGUUUUCGGAUCGUAAACUUCUUUGAUUGGGGAAGAAUAAAUGACGGUACCCAAAAAACAAGCCACGGCUAACUACGUGCCAGCAGCCGCGGUAAUACGUAGGUGGCAAGCGUUGUCCGGAUUUACUGGGUGUAAAGGGCGUGUAGGCGGGGAGGCAAGUCAGAUGUGAAAUACCACGGCUCAACCGUGGGGGUGCAUCUGAAACUGCUUCUCUUGAGUGCUGGAGAGGAAAGCGGAAUUCCUAGUGUAGCGGUGAAAUGCGUAGAUAUUAGGAGGAACACCAGUGGCGAAGGCGGCUUUCUGGACAGUAACUGACGCUGAGGCGCGAAAGCGUGGGGAGCAAACAGGAUUAGAUACCCGGGUAGUC
rnacentral:rRNA from 1 species